rnacentral:rRNA from 1 species
CCUACGGGCGGCUGCAGUGGGGAAUAUUGGACAAUGGGGGCAACCCUGAUCCAGCCAUGCCGCGUGUGUGAAGAAGGCCCUCGGGGUGUAAAGCACUUUCAGUGAGGAAGAACGCCUGGUGGUUAAUACCCAUCAGGAAAGACAUCACUCACAGAAGAAGCACCGGCUAACUCCGUGCCAGCAGCCGCGGUAAUACGGAGGGUGCGAGCGUUAAUCGGAAUUACUGGGCGUAAAGCGCGCGUAGGUGGCUUGAUAAGCCGGUUGUGAAAGCCCCGGGCUCAACCUGGGAACGGCAUCCGGAACUGUCAAGCUAGAGUGUAGGAGAGGAAGGUAGAAUUCCCGGUGUAGCGGUGAAAUGCGUAGAGAUCGGGAGGAAUACCAGUGGCGAAGGCGGCCUUCUGGACUGACACUGACACUGAGGUGCGAAAGCGUGGGUAGCAAACAGGAUUAGAUACCCUAGUAGUC